ACACAUGCAGUCGAACGCUGAAGCACCAGCUUGCUGGUGUGGAUGAGUGGCGAACGGGUGAGUAAUACGUGAGUAACCUGCCCUUGACUCUGGGAUAAGCCCGGGAAACUGGGUCUAAUACUGGAUGCUACAUGUCACCGCAUGGUGGUGUGUGGAAAGGGUUUACUGGUCUUGGAUGGGCUCACGGCCUAUCAGCUUGUUGGUGAGGUAAUGGCUCACCAAGGCGACGACGGGUAGCCGGCCUGAGAGGGUGACCGGCCACACUGGGACUGAGACACGGCCCAGACUCCUACGGGAGGCAGCAGUGGGGAAUAUUGCACAAUGGGCGAAAGCCUGAUGCAGCGACGCCGCGUGAGGGAUGACGGCCUUCGGGUUGUAAACCUCUUUCAGCAGGGAAGAAGCCACAAGUGACGGUACCUGCAGAAGAAGCGCCGGCUAACUACGUGCCAGCAGCCGCGGUAAUACGUAGGGCGCAAGCGUUGUCCGGAAUUAUUGGGCGUAAAGAGCUCGUAGGCGGUUUGUCGCGUCUGCUGUGAAAGCCCGGGGCUUAACCCCGGGUGUGCAGUGGGUACGGGCAGACUAGAGUGCAGUAGGGGAGACUGGAAUUCCUGGUGUAGCGGUGGAAUGCGCAGAUAUCAGGAGGAACACCGAUGGCGAAGGCAGGUCUCUGGGCUGUUACUGACGCUGAGGAGCGAAAGCAUGGGGAGCGAACAGGAUUAGAUACCCUGGUAGUCCAUGCCGUAAACGGNNNNNNUNGNGNGGGUGCUUACACAUGCAGUCGAACGCUGAAGCACCAGCUUGCUGGUGUGGAUGAGUGGCGAACGGGUGAGUAAUACGUGAGUAACCUGCCCUUGACUCUGGGAUAAGCCCGGGAAACUGGGUCUAAUACUGGAUGCUACAUGUCACCGCAUGGUGGUGUGUGGAAAGGGUUUACUGGUCUUGGAUGGGCUCACGGCCUAUCAGCUUGUUGGUGAGGUAAUGGCUCACCAAGGCGACGACGGGUAGCCGGCCUGAGAGGGUGACCGGCCACACUGGGACUGAGACACGGCC
rnacentral:rRNA from 1 species